rnacentral:rRNA from 1 species
CAAUAGCGUAUAUUUAAGUUGCUGCAGUUAAAAAGCUCGUAGUUGGAUUUCGGGUGGGAAUGGCCGGUCCGCCGUUUCGGUGUGCACUUGCUACGCCCACCUUGCUGCCGGGGACGUGCUCUUGAGUUCACGCUCGGGACACGGAGUCGGCGAGGUUACUUUGAGUAAAUUAGAGUGUUCAAAGCAGGCCUACGCUCUGAAUACAUUAGCAUGGAAUAACACGAUAGGACUCUGGCCUAUCUUGUUGGUCUGUAGGACCGGAGUAAUGAUUAAGAGGGACAGUCGGGGGCACUCGUAUUUCAUUGUCAGAGGUGAAAUACUUGGAUUUAUGAAAGACGAACUACUGCGAAAGCAUUUGCCAAGGAUGUUUUCAUUAA